GCGGCCGUGGUCUAGCAUGGUUAGGACGGAAGCCUCCCAAGCUUCCAACCCGAGUUGGUUCUGAAGAGAACCAAGGGAAUUCAAAUCCCGGCGGCCGCACCA
rnacentral:tRNA from 1 species